UCGUCAUCGUAGGGUUAGUCGGGACCUAAGUCGAGUCCGAAAGGGGUAGACGAUGGCAAAUAGGUUAAUAUUCCUAUACCGACGGUUGUUUGUUUGAAUGAUGGGGGGACGCAUAGAGUUAAUCGAGCUCACUGAUGGAAUAGUGGGUCGAAGGACGUAGGUCGUGAAGUAGGCAAAUCCGCUUCACAUGAGACCGAGAUCUUACAGGCUCUUCAAUAGCUUCGGCUAGCGAGGAGAAUCGAUGAUACUGUCGUGCCGAGAAAAGCCUCUAAAUGAGAACAACCGUUGCCCGUACCGCAAACCGACACAGGUGGGUGAGAUGAGUAUUCUAAGGCGCGUGGAUGAGCCCUGGUUAAGGAACUCUGCAAACUAGCACCGUAUCUUCGGAAUAAGGUGUGCCUACUCUUGUAUUAGAAUUUACUUCGAAAGCGAGAGAGGUUGCAACAAAGAGUCCCUCCCGACUGUUUAC
rnacentral:rRNA from 1 species